AAAUGCCAUGCGUACGUGCAGAGACACGGAAUCCAUGCAUGCACCGCACCUGGGCCGAGACAUACUACGUACAGGGUUGACCGAGCGACGACCUGGACCAUAUUAGCACUAGCAUGCAUGCAUGCAUGCUGAUUUCUGUCCUUGUCGCUCGUGCAAUGAACUGGCCUCUCAUGCAAUGAAAUGACCUGGACCAUAUUAGCACUACCAUGCAUGCAUGCAUGUAUUAGCAGCUUUCGUUAGCCUAUAAAUGAAGCAAAGCUUAUAUAUUAGAAGCUCAGAAGCAACCCAUCAUGCAGCGUUCUUCUUCUUCUUCUUCCAUGGCACUCGCAUGCGCUAUGGCAGUGCUGGUUCUCAUCUCCUCUUCCUUGGCGGCUCAAGCUGCGAGCGCACAGCCUGGAUAUCGUCCGCCACAAAGGCCUCCGCCGCCGUAUGCCCCGCAGGGCCCAGGUUAUUCUAGGAAGUGCCCAGACUGCAACUCCGGCGCCACCCGGCGGGCGCCCUCGGCACUGGCUCCCCACCGCAAGGCCAUGCAGGCCGCCCCGGACGUCGACAGUAAGACGCUUGCGCGUCACGCAACACCGACAUAUAUAUGAUGCGGCGAUCGCCGAUGGUGGUGCCAUGGAAUUGAAUAAAGGAGCAGCGCACUGUGGGACUGCAACGAUCAGCCAGCCCCUUCGCAGGAUCAGCCGGAUCGUAUAACUAAUAAGAGAGCCAGCAUGUUAGUACCGAGACAUCUCCUGUGCAAUUCUUGUGCGCAUGCUUUCUAUUACUGCUUGAUGUCCUUGUUGCACGCAUGAUAUUAUAUCUUGAGUCGUCAAAUUUUGUCAUA